GCAAAUGAAAUUUAAUGUGGAUAAAUGUAAAGUAAUGCACAUUGGAAAAAAUAACCCCAACUAUACAUACAAUAUGAAGGGGGCUAGUUUAGCUACGACUAAAUGGGAAAGAGAUCUUGG